GCGGUGGAGCAUGUGGUUUAAUUCGAAGCAACGCGCAGAACCUUACCAGCCCUUGACAUACCGGUCGCGGACACAGAGAUGUGUCUUUCAGUUCGGCUGGACCGGAUACAGGUGCUGCAUGGCUGUCGUCAGCUCGUGUCGUGAGAUGUUGGGUUAAGUCCCGCAACGAGCGCAACCCUCGCCCUUAGUUGCCAGCAUUUAGUUGGGCACUCUAAGGGGACUGCCGGUGAUAAGCCGAGAGGAAGGUGGGGAUGACGUCAAGUCCUCAUGGCCCUUACGGGCUGGGCUACACACGUGCUACAAUGGUGGUGACAGUGGGCAGCGAGCACGCGAGUGUGAGCUAAUCUCCAAAAGCCAUCUCAGUUCGGAUUGCACUCUGCAACUCGAGUGCAUGAAGUUGGAAUCGCUAGUAAUCGCGGAUCCUAGCAUCGCCGCGUGAAUAACGUACCGGCCU
rnacentral:rRNA from 1 species